AAGUUUGUUUUGUAAUAAACCACUUCUAUACAGUAUUAGUCAAUGCGCGCUUGAGUUUCAAAACCCUCAAUCAUUGACACUAUUAAUCAACUGUUAAUCUGCGUUUUGUCUGAUCUCUUUUGCUUGUCCGCUCUGUAAUCAGAGUUCUCAACCUAAUUGAUCCCAGCACAUUUCUAGUUCUCUUCUUUUCUCUGGUAUCCUAUUAUUUACAGCUCUGUAAAAGCUAACUGUGAUUGGAAAUUGAAGCAACAGAGAACGGUUUUACCUUUAUAUCUAUUUGUAACUUUGUAAGGAUAGCCAUCUAGUACGGAGUAAGUAAAUUUCCAGAUAAAAUAAAGGAUAGAUUUAGAUUUAGGCAUCUGAGAAUAAAUGUGUAAAAAUUUUCUGAAUUUGAGAGGUAUUUCAUCUGUCUUUCCUUAGGGCUGAUAUAGAAUGCACAGAGGAGGUUACUAAUAUGACAGAUUAAGGGGAAAAAAGAAGGGUUACUAAUCUGAAGUUCCCUUUUACGCAUACUAAGUUGGUAAUCAGACUGGACACAGCAGGCUUAGCAGCAAAUCAAGGUAAUAGCAAUGAUAGGAAAUGAUACCUGGUCAGGCACCCAUAGAACUCUUUUUUCUAAAAUCUCGAUCAUAUAACGGCACACAUAGUAUCCGGAGUCAUUGCUGUUUUGAGGUUGACGAGGACACUACAAUAUAAGGAAUAAAAGAAAUACAGUAAUACAUCAGGUAAGUUAAGUUAUUGUAUUAAUGUACUACAUCAUAGUAUUAUAGAGAACACAGAUGAAAUACCUCUGGUUGCAUCCACCCAAUUUUCGGAUUCCUUUUUACUUUCUUAAUAUCCUUUCGAUAGAGAAUGCUAAAUCUUCUAAUUCCCCUGCGUAAAAAAAAUGAUAGCUCAAUGAGCUUCUUUUUCGAUAUUAAUGGAUAUCCAUUAUGAAGAAACAGGAGGCUAAGGAAA